AACAUUAUUGAAUGCUUCAUCUUGGGUUCCUCUCUCCUCUUUUUAAAAGGUUGUGCCUGGCCUCAUACUUGAAAAGCCAGUGAAAACCCCAUCUACCCCUUGAGGACAGAAACUGAACUCACCAUCGUUCAAUAACUGGAAGACCAUCUCUUGUUAUCCUGGCUCCAAUGAAUAUACCUUGCAGGAGCAAACCCACUUGUCAAAGCCUGGACUCCGCAGACACAGACUUGAUGAACAGGAGAAUAAGGAACCAAGACCCUCGUCCAAUCCCUUCUACUCCUCUGCCACCUAAAUAUUAGUCGCAGUCCUAAGUGUGCCUUGGGGCACAUUCAGAAU
rnacentral:lncRNA from 1 species